rnacentral:rRNA from 1 species
AUUGAACGCUGGCGGCAUGCCUUACACAUGCAAGUCGAACGACGCUAGGGGCAACUCUAGCGAGUGGCGAACGGGUGAGUAAUGCAUCGGAACGUGCCCUCUCGUGGGGGAUAACCAGUCGAAAGAUUGGCUAAUACCGCAUGAGCUCGAGAGAGGAAAGCGGGGGACCGCAAGGCCUCGCGCGAGAGGAGCGGCCGAUGCCAGAUUAGGUAGUUGGUGGGGUAAAGGCUCACCAAGCCGACGAUCUGUAGCUGGUCUGAGAGGACGACCAGCCACACUGGGACUGAGACACGGCCCAGACUCCUACGGGAGGCAGCAGUGGGGAAUUUUGGACAAUGGGCGCAAGCCUGAUCCAGCAAUGCCGCGUGCAGGAAGAAGGCCUUCGGGUUGUAAACUGCUUUUGUACGGAGCGAAAAGGCUCUCUCUAAUACAGGGGGCUCAUGACGGUACCGUAAGAAUAAGCACCGGCUAACUACGUGCCAGCAGCCGCCGUAACAC